rnacentral:lncRNA from 1 species
AUGAAGUGCUUUGAGAGACUAGUCAAGGACCAUAUCACCUCCACCCUACCUGACACCCUAGACCCACUCCAAUUUGCUUACCACCCCAAUAGGUCCACAGACGACGCAAUCGCAACCACACUGCACACUGCCCUAACCCAUCUGGACAAGAGGAAUACCUAUGUGAGAAUGCUGUUCAUCGACUACAGCUCGGCAUUUAACACCAUAGUGCCCUCCAAGCUCGUCAUCAAGCUCGAGACCAUGGGUCUCGACCCCGCCCUGUGCAACUCGGUACUGGACUUCCUGAUGGGCCACCCCCAGGUGGUGAGGGUAGGUAACAACAUCUCCACCCCGCUGAUCCUCAACACUGGGGCCCCACAAGGGUGCGUUCUGAGCCCUCUCCUGUACUCCCUGUUCACCCAUGACUGCGUGGCCAUGCACGCCUCCAACUCAAUCAUCAAGUUUGCGGACGACACUACAGUGGUAGGCUUGAUUACCAACAAUGACGAGACGGCCUACAGGGAGGAGGUGAGGGCCCUCGGAGUGUGGUGUCAGGAAAAUAACCUCACACUCAACGUCAACAAAACAAAGGAGAUGAUUGUGGACUUCAGGAAACAGCAGAGGGAGCACCCCCCUAUCCACAUCGACGGGACAAUAGUGGAGAGGGUAGUAAGUUUUAAGUUCCUCGGCGUACACAUCAUGGACAAACUGAAUUGGUCCACCCACACAGACAGCGUUGUGAAGAGGGCGCAGCAGCGCCUCUUCAACCUCAGGAGGCUGAAGAAAUUCGGCCUGUCACCAAAAGCACUCACAAACGUCUACAAAUGCACAAUCGAGAGCAUCCUGCCGGGCUCUUUCGCCGCCUGGUACGGCAUCUGCUCCGCCCACAACCAUAAGGCUCUCCAGAGGGUAGUGAGGUCUGCACAACGCAUCACCGUGGGCAAACUACCUGCCCUCCAGGACACCUACACCACCCGAUGUCACCGGAAGGCCAUAAAGAUCAUCAAGGACAACAACCACCUGAGCGACUGCCUGUUCACCCCGCUAUCAUCCAGAAGGCGAGGUCAGAACAGGUGCAUCAAAGCAGGGACUGAGAGACUGAAAAACAGCUUCUAUCUA